AUUUUAAUAAAUUAACAUAAUUAAUUUAAUUAAUUUCAAUAAAAUUAAAUCAACCCGACCUAUGUGCACCCCUAAUCCCAAAACAACAAAAUAUUGAUCCCACGGCCACAAAUCCCCUAGACCCCAUAAUCCCUUCUCAUCCUAUACCGCUAGACCCUUCUAGAAUUGUACUUUACCAAUAUUUCUCCUCUCUACUAUAUAUAACCUUUCCCUCCUGCUCUGGUGAUCAUCUAACUUGUUGCCAAAGCGUUCAAUAUUUUCACUUUCACUCAGCAAACCAACCAACAAAUUUUUCAGUAUAAAAUGGGUUCAUCAACUGCGACUGCAACCCACCAAGUGAAAAUUCCAUUUUCCGGGUAUAAAUUGGAGAACAAAACUCCAUUUUUGGGCAGGAGAAUCAGUUUCGUAUCAGUUUCGUAUCGCAGAACAAAUGUUACAGAGACAAAAUGGUGAGACAAAGGUACAGACCCAUGAAAGUAGUGAACGAGAAAGUGGUGGGAUAGACUUAGGGACGACGAAUUCAACAGUAGCAGUAAUGGAAGGUGGGAAACCAACAAUAGUGACAAACGCGGAGGGGCAAAGAACGACGCCGUCUGUAGUGGCGUAUACGAAUAACGGAGACAGAUUAGUUGGGCGGAUAGCGAAAAGGCAGUCGGUGGUGAAUCCGGAAAACACUUUUUUCUCAGUGAAGUGGUUUGUAGGGAGGAAAAUGGCGGAGGUUGAUGAAGAGUCGAAGCAGGUAUCGUAUAGAGUGAUGAAGGAUGACAAUGGGAAUGUUAAGCUUGAGUGUCCUGCUAUUGGUAAACAGUUUGCUCCUGAGGAAAUUUCUGCUCAGAUAUGUAUACUUGUCCAUUCACUGCUUGUUUCCGUUACUCUAGUCUAAAUACUAGUAUUACAUUUGAAUGGUGGAAUAUGUCUACCAAUAAAUUUCGAAGGAAAAUUGAACCUGGAAAUAAUUUUUUUUAGUGGUUAUCAACCUUGGAAAGGAGUGUUGGAGUUGUUGGGAAACAAUAAUAAAAUUUUAAUAUCAAUGGUAAAAUUCAAUAUUAUAACAAUGUAGUAGUGUUAACAACAAUAAUAACAGUUGUAGAUUUAAUAAUAAUAAUAAUAAUAAUAAUAAUAAUAAUAAUAGUACUGCUAUGUUUUAAAUUCGUUAUUCUAAAAAUAAUGAUAUUAAAUAUUCAGUAAAUAUUUCUAUGAUAAAAUUUUAGGUGAUAUAUAAAAUUAUGGUAUAAUACAACAUGUUAAUUUGAUCUCAAAUCACAUCUAUGACUUCCAACUUUAGAUAUGCACAAAUAUGUACAUGUGUCAUGUGUUUACUUAUUCAAUUUUAUAUAAGUUCAAGUGCACACUUGUGUUCGCCUAAAGUUGGAGGUCAUAGAUUUGAUUUGAGAUCAAGUUAAAAGGAUAUGUUUAUGUAUUGUGCCUAAAAUUAUACUUGAAUAGUGCUAGUAUACUUGAGUUGUGCUAGGCAUUCUUCAAUGAAAUUAUUUUAAGAGUGUGAAAUAUUUUUUCAGCAUUAAACAUGCACUUCCUUACUUAAUUAGAGGAUAUUCAAAGUCUUUCCUAAUUCCUAAUUAAUUAGAGGAUUCAAGAAUUAUCAAAAUUAAUUAUAUUGCCAACAAGUUUUAAUGGGUAAAUAUAAAAUCUAAUCAAACGAAAAUUAUACGAAAACAAUUGAAAUAGAAAGGAGAUGAAAAAAGAAAAAAUAGGUGAAUAUUGAGGGAUAAGAAAACUAGCUUUUAUAUCUUUUCAUUCCAAAAGAGAAGGCUAUUUCUAGAAGUAGUUUCGGAGUGAACAUUAAGGCGGUGACAUAUCUUACAAGUCACUUAUUUUCAUUGGUAAUUGAUAAUAAAAUAAUCUUUUUUUUGGUUUAAUUUGUAUUUUAUUAAUAAUCAAAAGUUAAAAAACAAGAAUGGGCUAACCCAUUCAAAAUACAACCUAAAUAGCAAAGAAAAUAAAUAUGGACCGGAUAUUAGAAACUCAGCCCAAAAAAUACAUAUAUAUAAGUAAGUAGGGUUUCCUAACUGAGCUAAGAAGCUCAUUAGUACCCUCCGCCUUUUCUGCUCUUAGUGUAGAGUUUCCAUGGAUUUGUUUUUCAAUCUCCAGCUCCAACUUCUGCUUCUUUAGGUGGUGAAUACCAUUUCCUUGUAUAGCUAUGGUGUAUACAUCUUCAGCUUCACAGGUAAGUUUUCUUUUUCGUUUAAUCAUUUGAGGUUGAUCUUUGUUGCUUAACUCCCUUUUUUCUUUCAAUAACCAGUUGAGAUCUCCAGUACUAAGAUGUAUGACAAGCUUUUUUGGUGCACGAAAAAGUGUAGUCUGCUUAGGCCUGGUAAUCAUUGCAGUUCUUAAAGGGAGGGAGAUUAACGGAUGCUCGGACCCAUUGGAUCUUUGAUGAUGCCAAAAACCUAAGCUGCAUGAAUUGAAGAGCUGACCAAUGACCGUUGAUUUACAGAGAGUCCUUUUUGAUGGCUUAUAACCUAGGCUAAGUAGUUUCCAUUUUUUUUGUUGCUCAUCUUGUACAGAAGACAGUGUAUUAGCCUGUCCAGUGUGUUGUCUGAUGCUUAGCUGCUAGCCUGAGAUAAGAUGACUAAUACUUAUCACUGUUCAAAAUCUUUCUAGCUGUGUUAGGCAAUUGCUAAAAUGUUGUAUAUUCAAAUUGAUUGCACUCCACUGCUAUGUUGGCUAGAUAAUCUGUUAGCUGGUUCCCCUUUCUGCAUGUAUGAAGUAUUUUUACUUGCUUGCUUUCAA